UCAUUAAAAUCUUGUUACUGGACCCAUGUUUCAUGGACAACUUCAAAUCUCCCACAUUUGUGCGCUAGGCAACCGCGUUCGUUGGCAGAAAGCGGAAAUUAGCGGCAAAUGGGAAUAUUUUAUGGUACUUACAAAGGACGUACCAAAAAUAUGAAUGUCCUUCACUAAGGAAAAGAAGUAAAAUAUACCUUGGUCAAAGAGCAAUCAAAUGAUUCAAAUCGAGAAGAAAUGCCUAAAUAUUCGUCGACCACUUUUUCGCACUUUGCCACGGAUUUUACCAGGACAGUUUUUGCAAUUUUUCUCAAACAUCCUGUUAACUUUUUGUAACAAUCAAAGCGUCUUCAAGUUAAGUACAGUAUUCUUCUCUCUUCUAAUCUCAAUUACUAAACAAAACCAACUUGUUCAUAUUGGUUUG